AUUGAACGCUGGCGGCAUGCCUUACACAUGCAAGUCGAACGGUAACAGGUCUUCGGAUGCUGACGAGUGGCGAACGGGUGAGUAAUACAUCGGAACGUGCCUAGUAGUGGGGGAUAACUACUCGAAAGAGUGGCUAAUACCGCAUGAGAUCUACGGAUGAAAGCAGGGGAUCGCAAGACCUUGUGCUACUAGAGCGGCCGAUGGCAGGUUAGGUAGUUGGUGGGAUAAAAGCUUACCAAGCCGACGAUCUGUAGCUGGGCGGAGAGAACGAUCAGCCACACUGGGACUGAGACACGGCCCAGAGUCCUACGGGAGGCAGCAGUGGGUAAUUUUUGACAAUGGGCGCAAGCCUGAUCCAGCAAUGCCGCGUGCAGGAUGAAGGCCUUCGGGUUGUAAACUGCUUUUGUACGGAACGAAAAGCUCCGGGUUAAUACCCUGGGGUCAUGACGGUACCGUAAGAAUAAGCACCGGCUAACUACGUGCCAGCCGCCGCCGUAA
rnacentral:rRNA from 1 species